GACGAACGCUGGCGGCGUGCUUAACACAUGCAAGUCGAACGGAAAGGCCCUGCUUUUGUGGGGUGCUCGAGUGGCGAACGGGUGAGUAACACGUGAGUAACCUGCCCUUGACUUUGGGAUAACUUCAGGAAACUGGGGCUAAUACCGGAUAGGAGCUCCUGCUGCAUGGUGGGGGUUGGAAAGUUUCGGCGGUUGGGGAUGUACUCGCGGCUUAUCAGCUUGUUGGUGGGGUAGUGGCUUACCAAGGCUUUGGCGGGUAGCCGGCCUGAGAGGGUGACCGGCCACAUUGGGACUGAGAUACGGCCCAGACUCCUACGGGAGGCAGCAGUGGGGAAUAUUGCACAAUGGGCGGAAGCCUGAUGCAGCAACGCCGCGUGCGGGAUGACGGCCUUCGGGUUGUAAACCGCUUUCGCCUGUGACGAAGCGUGAGUGACGGUAAUGGGUAAAGAAGCACCGGCUAACUACGUG
rnacentral:rRNA from 1 species